UCGGCCGUGAUGCUGCCGUCAGGGUGGAAGUACCGCCGCAUUGGAGGGGCGCCCUCGCCCCUCCAGGAUGGGUCCAGCUCCCGCCAGUACUCCGGCGCCAUCUGCGGAGGGGGUGAGAAAGAAGAAGCUAAUUAUCCGAUACAGUAACAGAGACAAGUUUGAUAAGAGUAAAGGGAGAUGAGAUGGAUACUGGCUGCAGAGAAGAGAGAACAAACCACAGAACAAAAGUAGAUGAGCUGGAUUAUACUCCUAUGAAACUAAGAAAACUGAACUAAAGAUAUAAAAUACAGAAACUAAUCCUUCAGAGAGGCCACAGUUUCUGCUGUCAUAAAACUAAUUUUCUCCCCGGCAUAGCUCUUCCACUGAGGAGCUAUUUAUAACAAUCACAAAAAGACUCCUUACCAUCAACAACUUGAAAGUAAAUCUAAACCUAGAAGACUAAUGACACAAGACUCUUUAAACAUAUCAGCAGGGACAAUCCCUAUCACUUGCCUUGUUGAAUCAGCCUUGUUCUCAAGACUGAUGUGGAACCGUCCAUGGGGAAUCGUUAAAGCCACCAUAAUCUCGUCACACGGGCUGGUCUGGUGCAGCGUCUUGAAAUAGCCCAUCAGCAGCAGCAAUAAAUUAAUCCUCCACAGAGGCCUACCAUUUUCACUGUCCUAAAACUAAUUUUCUCCCCGGUGCAUAACGUUUUGAUGAGGAGCUAUUUAUAACAAUUAUAAAGACUCCCAAUUCUUAUCAACAACUUGAAAGUAAUCCAAACCUAGAAGACUAAUGAAUUAAUACUCAAUAAAAUAAUAACUAAGGAUAGUAAACAAAGGUUAACUACUACUACUUCCACCAAAAUCGGCAGGGAAGAUCCCUAUCAGAGUUCCAAGUGCUCUUCAUUUUGACUGCUGGAGAAGUUUAUGCCCCAUAACUUAUCUGGAUUCAUGAAGUGUUUAUCGGGAAAUAAUACAUUUAAUGAAAAUAAGGUGGAUAACCAAAGCAACAAUUGGCAAGACUAUUUAUUAGAGUCGCUGAUAAUCUGAUCUAAUUUCUUCUUCACAUCAUCAGGCACGUGAUUGUUUGCUAUUUCACUAGUAGAAUAACAGAUACUACUAUAAUGGAGCAUCAUAACCCAAAUUCAGCACAAGCAUGCAAAUUUUUACAAAUCUUCUUAUGGUCAACAAAAAUAUUACUGUGUUCCAGUAGGAGACGUUACAAGAGGCUUGCUAAAUGUAUCAUAUGACAUCAAAUAGAACAUAGUAGUAAAAUGAUAAAUUCGGAACAAGGGAGAAAAUGAACUACAGCAAUAACAAAACGAGCACAGAUGGCACACUGGACCCAUUUGUUUUUCACAUUUGCAGCUGAAUGCAUUCGAACUAGUACCAAUAACACUCAUUGUACAAUUUUGGAGGCAAAAUAAAUUACUUUCAUGUCUUAUUUCUCGAA